GCCGGCGUAGCUCAAUUGGCAGAGCAACUGACUUGUAAUCAGUAGGUUGCGGGUUCGAGUCCCAUCGCCGGCUCCA
rnacentral:tRNA from 1 species